UGGGAUAUAGCUCAGUUGGUAGAGUACGUGCCUUACACGCACAAGGCCCUGGGUCAAACCCCCAGUAACACAC
rnacentral:tRNA from 1 species